rnacentral:rRNA from 1 species
UGUUAGCGGCGGACGGGUGAGUAACACGUGGGUAACCUGCCUGUAAGACUGGGAUAACUCCGGGAAACCGGGGCUAAUACCGGAUGCUUGUUUGAACCGCAUGGUUCAAACAUAAAAGGUGGCUUCGGCUACCACUUACAGAUGGACCCGCGGCGCAUUAGCUAGUUGGUGAGGUAAUGGCUCACCAAGGCAACGAUGCGUAGCCGACCUGAGAGGGUGAUCGGCCACACUGGGACUGAGACACGGCCCAGACUCCUACGGGAGGCAGCAGUAGGGAAUCUUCCGCAAUGGACGAAAGUCUGACGGAGCAACGCCGCGUGAGUGAUGAAGGUUUUCGGAUCGUAAAGCUCUGUUGUUAGGGAAGAACAAGUACCGUUCGAAUAGGGCGGUACCUUGACGGUACCUAACCAGAAAGCCACGGCUAACUACGUGCCAGCAGCCGCGGUAAUACGUAGGUGGCAAGCGUUGUCCGGAAUUAUUGGGCGUAAAGGGCUCGCAGGCGGUUUCUUAAGUCUGAUGUGAAAGCCCCCGGCUCAACCGGGGAGGGUCAUUGGAAACUGGGGAACUUGAGUGCAGAAGAGGAGAGUGGAAUUCCACGUGUAGCGGUGAAAUGCGUAGAGAUGUGGAGGAACACCAGUGGCGAAGGCGACUCUCUGGUCUGUAACUGACGCUGAGGAGCGAAAGCGUGGGGAGCGAACAGGAUUAGAUACCCUGGUAGUCCACGCCGUAAACGAUGAGUGCUAAGUGUUAGGGGGUUUCCGCCCCUUAGUGCUGCAGCUAACGCAUUAAGCACUCCGCCUGGGGAGUACGGUCGCAAGACUGAAACUCAAAGGAAUUGACG